UACGAAGGGGGCUAGCGUUGUUCGGAAUUACUGGGCGUAAGGGCGCGCAGGCGGUCCUUCAAGUCAGGCGUGAAAGCCCCGGGCUCAACCUGGGAAUAGCGCUUGAGACUGAGGGACUUGAGUUCGGGAGAGGAGAGCGGAAUUCCCAGUGUAGAGGUGAAAUUCGUAGAUAUUGGGAAGAACACCGGUGGCGAAGGCGGCUCUCUGGACCGACACUGACGCUGAGGCGCGAAAGCGUGGGGAGCAAACAGG
rnacentral:rRNA from 1 species